GUGGAAAGACCUUCAAUUGUUCUCUGAACAAUUGGUUUUUAAUUAGGUCUUUCCACUUUUCUGUGGAAAGACCUAUUGUUUUUCUUCUGAUUAUUUUUUUUUUUCUUCCGCCAAAUUUUGUUCUUGCGAUAAACAUUUGUUUCGCAAUAUGUCGCUUAGAUAUUUGGUAUAUGAUAUCGAACAGUUUAUGCGCUUUUGAAAUUAACCCUGUGUAACCGAAUACUUUUCUUUGUAGGAGUUAUCUCCCCAAACACUGUUUUCCUUGUGUCCACAACUCCUUCGCAACCGUAAAAGAUUAUGACAAAUUUAUUUUAUAAAAUUGCUCGUUAUAUCCUUCGCAUGAUUUGUCCAAUUUCGACCGAAGCAAUAUGAACGCUCCAUAUGAGAGUUAUUUCCCUUUUUGUAUUUG
rnacentral:lncRNA from 1 species